UGUGACAUACCUAAAACGUUGCUUCGGCGGGAACAGACGGCCCUGUAACAACGGGCCGCCCCCGCCAGAGGACCCCUAACUCUGUUUUUAUAAUGUUUUUCUGAGUAAACAAGCAAAUAAAUUAAAACUUUCAACAACGGAUCUCUUGGCUCUGGCAUCGAUGAAGAACGCAGCGAAAUGCGAUAAGUAAUGUGAAUUGCAGAAUUCAGUGAAUCAUCGAAUCUUUGAACGCACAUUGCGCCCGCCAGUAUUCUGGCGGGCAUGCCUGUUCGAGCGUCAUUACAACCCUCAGGCCCCCGGGCCUGGCGUUGGGGAUCGGCGGAAGCCCCCUGUGGGCACACGCCGUCCCUCAAAUACAGUGGCGGUCCCGCCGCAGCUUCCAUUGCGUAGUAGCUAACACCUCGCAACUGGAGAGCGGCGCGGCCAUGCCGUAAAACACCCAACUUCUGAAUGUUGACCUCGAAUCAGGUAGGAAUACCCGCUGAACUUAAGCAUAU
rnacentral:rRNA from 1 species